UUAUAAUUUAUUUCCGUAAUGAAAACAUUUUGCUUUGAGCAAGUUUUCAGUAGUUUUUUUUGGCGCUAUCACUCCUGAGUCGCACCAGCCAUUAAAUGUAUCAUGAAGAAGAGAAAAUAUAUUUAAGUCGUAUUUUGGGGGGACAUUUUAUUAUCUUUCUUACAAAAUCUGAGACCAAGCGUUUCACAUUGCAACACAAGCACCGGUAACCAUAACAGAAUUUACAGCCAGCAGAGGAGAGGAUGGCGGUGUUUCAAACCCUCCCGGCCGGCGUGUAGAGCUCAUUCCUGGGCUGGAGCCGGCCCUCAGCACCCCGCCACAGGCUCUAACAGAUGCUGGCGGUGUUUCAUAUAUUUCCAAAACGUAAUACUUGUUUGUAUCUUGUACAGCCAACUAGCCUUUAUUCUGGACUCAGUACAAUUUACCAAAAGUAAAGAGACAUUAUACAGAUGAAGUAAGCACAAGAUAACUUACUGGAAGACACAGAGUUAUCAUCAGAACCAGAACAAGAGAGCCUUAUAACAGUCAUGUGAAAAUAACAGUUAAAAAGUAUGUAUGUAUAAUAGAAAUAAAAAUAUAUUAGAAUUAGUGUAACUCACUGUGAUCCAAACAAAUCAGCCAUAGCUGAUGAGUAAAUAUGACAUGAGGUCUGGGAGUUUUUAAGUUUCAUUCUUUUAUUACAUUUUUUUCUUAGAUCUAUUAAAAGGUCACCAUGGCAGCCUGUGUGUCUCCAACGUCAGCUACACAACGCAGCGUCCAUUUGGAUCAUUGGAGACAGCUGAGUGAGGCGUGGUGCCCAGAGAGCUGCAGAGACAACCUUGGCCUCCCUGACGUCUGUGUCUCUUGGUUUGGUUGGGGCGGACCAUCGACAUACAUACAUGUGCCGACACUUUGCGCCCUGUUUUAUAAACUGUAGUGUUAAAAAUAAAUGUUUUUGCUCAA